rnacentral:rRNA from 1 species
GAGUAACGCGUGAGGAACCUGCCUCAAAGAGGGGGACAACAGUUGGAAACGACUGCUAAUACCGCAUAAGCCCACAGGUCGGCAUCGACCAGAGGGAAAAGGAGCAAUCCGCUUUGAGAUGGCCUCGCGUCCGAUUAGCUAGUUGGUGAGGUAAUGGCCCACCAAGGCGACGAUCGGUAGCCGGACUGAGAGGUUGAACGGCCACAUUGGGACUGAGACACGGCCCAGACUCCUACGGGAGGCAGCAGUGGGGAAUAUUGCACAAUGGGGGAAACCCUGAUGCAGCGACGCCGCGUGGAGGAAGAAGGUCUUCGGAUUGUAAACUCCUGUUGUUGAGGAAGAUAAUGACGGUACUCAACAAGGAAGUGACGGCUAACUACGUGCCAGCAGCCGCGGUAAAACGUAGGCCACAAGCGUUGUCCGGAAUUACUGGGUGUAAAGGGAGCGCAGGCGGGAAGACAAGUUGGAAGUGAAAUCUAUGGGCUCAACCCAUAAACUGCUUUCAAGACUGUUUUUCUUGAGUAGUGCAGAGGUAGGCGGAAUUCCCGGUGUAGCGGUGGAAUGCGUAGAUAUCGGGAGGAACACCA